UAAAAACCCCGACUUCGGAAGGGGUGUAUUUAUUAGAUACAAAACCAAUGCCCUUCGGGGCUCUUUGGUGAUUCAUGAUAACUAUACGAAUCGCACGGCCUUGCGCCGGCGAUGGUUCAUUCAAAUUUCUUCCCUAUCAACUUUCGAUGUUUGGGUAUUGGCCAAACAUGGUUGCAACGGGUAACGGAGGGUUAGGGCUCGACCCCGGAGAAGGAGCCUGAGAAACGGCUACUACAUCCAAGGAAGGCAGCAGGCGCGCAAAUUACCCAAUCCCGACUCGGGGAGGUAGUGACAAUAAAUACUGAUACAGGGCCCUUUCGGGCCUUGUAAUUGGAAUGAGUACAAUUUAAAUCCCUUAACGAGGAAAAUUGGAGGGCAAGUCUGGUGCCAGCAGCCCCGGUAAUUCCAGCUCCAAUAGCGUAUAUUAAAGUUGUUGUGGUUAAAAAAAUCGAAAUUGAACCUUGUGCCUGGGUGGCUGGGCCGCCUCACCCCGCGCACUGGUGUCGCCGGGGCUUUUUCUCUCUGGAAAACCAUAUACUUCACUGUGGGUGGGGGGGGAGAAACGAGAUUUACUAU
rnacentral:rRNA from 1 species